AUUUAUAUAGUUUAUAUUAAAACGGUAUAUUUUCAUUAUACAGAAAAUAUUUUUUAUUUGUAAAUA
rnacentral:tRNA from 1 species